rnacentral:rRNA from 1 species
GGGGAAUCUUCCGCAAUGGGCGAAAGCCUGACGGAGCAACGCCGCGUGAGUGAUGACGGCCUUCGGGUUGUAAAACUCUGUGAUCCGGGACGAAAAGGCAGAGUGCGAAGAACAAACUGCAUUGACGGUACCGGAAAAGCAAGCCACGGCUAACUACGUGCCAGCAGCCGCGGUAAUACGUAGGUGGCAAGCGUUGUCCGGAAUUAUUGGGCGUAAAGCGCGCGCAGGCGGCUUCCCAAGUCCCUCUUAAAAGUGCGGGGCUUAACCCCGUGAUGGGAAGGAAACUGGGAAGCUGGAGUAUCGGAGAGGAAAGUGGAAUUCCUAGUGUAGCGGUGAAAUGCGUAGAGAUUAGGAAGAACACCGGUGGCGAAGGCGACUUUCUGGACGAAAACUGACGCUGAGGCGCGAAAGCGUGGGGAGCAAAC